rnacentral:tRNA from 1 species
CAGAAAAUAGUUUAAUGUAGAAUGCCAGUUUUGGGGGCUGGUGGUGGGGGUUUGAUUCCCCCUUUUCUGA